rnacentral:rRNA from 1 species
UUAAGCGACUAAGCGUACACGGUGGAUGCCCUGGCAGUCAGAGGCGAUGAAGGACGUGCUAAUCUGCGAUAAGCGUCGGUAAGGUGAUAUGAACCGUUAUAACCGGCGAUUUCCGAAUGGGGAAACCCAGUGUGAUUCGUCACACUAUCAUUAACUGAAUCCAUAGGUUAAUGAGGCGAACCGGGGGAACUGAAACAUCUAAGUACCCCGAGGAAAAGAAAUCAACCGAGAUUCCCCCAGUAGCGGCGAGCGAACGGGGAGCAGCCCAGAGCCUGAAUCAGUGUGUGUGUUAGUGGAAGCGUCUGGAAAGGCGCGCGAUACAGGGUGACAGCCCCGUACACAAAAAUGCACAUACUGUGAGCUCGAUGAGUAGGGCGGGACACGUGGUAUCCUGUCUGAAUAUGGGGGGACCAUCCUCCAAGGCUAAAUACUCCUGACUGACCGAUAGUGAACCAGUACCGUGAGGGAAAGGCGAAAAGAACCCCGGCGAGGGGAGUGAAAAAGAACCUGAAACCGUGUACGUACAAGCAGUGGGAGCACGCUUAGGCGUGUGACUGCGUACCUUUUGUAUAAUGGGUCAGCGACUUAUAUUCUGUAGCAAGGUUAACCGAAUAGGGGAGCCGAAGGGAAACCGAGUCUUAACUGGGCGUUAAGUUGCAGGGUAUAGACCCGAAACCCGGUGAUCUAGCCAUGGGCAGGUUGAAGGUUGGGUAACACUAACUGGAGGACCGAACCGACUAAUGUUGAAAAAUUAGCGGAUGACUUGUGGCUGGGGGUGAAAGGCCAAUCAAACCGGGAGAUAGCUGGUUCUCCCCGAAAGCUAUUUAGGUAGCGCCUCGUGAACUCAUCUCCGGGGGUAGAGCACUGUUUCGGCAAGGGGGUCAUCCCGACUUACCAACCCGAUGCAAACUGCGAAUACCGGAGAAUGUUAUCACGGGAGACACACGGCGGGUGCUAACGUCCGUCGUGAAGAGGGAAACAACCCAGACCGCCAGCUAAGGUCCCAAAGUCAUGGUUAAGUGGGAAACGAUGUGGGAAGGCCCAGACAGCCAGGAUGUUGGCUUAGAAGCAGCCAUCAUUUAAAGAAAGCGUAAUAGCUCACUGGUCGAGUCGGCCUGCGCGGAAGAUGUAACGGGGCUAAACCAUGCACCGAAGCUGCGGCAGCGACGCUUAUGCGUUGUUGGGUAGGGGAGCGUUCUGUAAGCCUGCGAAGGUGUGCUGUGAGGCAUGCUGGAGGUAUCAGAAGUGCGAAUGCUGACAUAAGUAACGAUAAAGCGGGUGAAAAGCCCGCUCGCCGGAAGACCAAGGGUUCCUGUCCAACGUUAAUCGGGGCAGGGUGAGUCGACCCCUAAGGCGAGGCCGAAAGGCGUAGUCGAUGGGAAACAGGUUAAUAUUCCUGUACUUGGUGUUACUGCGAAGGGGGGACGGAGAAGGCUAUGUUGGCCGGGCGACGGUUGUCCCGGUUUAAGCGUGUAGGCUGGUUUUCCAGGCAAAUCCGGAAAAUCAAGGCUGAGGCGUGAUGACGAGGCACUACGGUGCUGAAGCAACAAAUGCCCUGCUUCCAGGAAAAGCCUCUAAGCAUCAGGUAACAUCAAAUCGUACCCCAAACCGACACAGGUGGUCAGGUAGAGAAUACCAAGGCGCUUGAGAGAACUCGGGUGAAGGAACUAGGCAAAAUGGUGCCGUAACUUCGGGAGAAGGCACGCUGAUAUGUAGGUGAAGCGACUUGCUCGUGGAGCUGAAAUCAGUCGAAGAUACCAGCUGGCUGCAACUGUUUAUUAAAAACACAGCACUGUGCAAACACGAAAGUGGACGUAUACGGUGUGACGCCUGCCCGGUGCCGGAAGGUUAAUUGAUGGGGUUAGCGGUAACGCGAAGCUCUUGAUCGAAGCCCCGGUAAACGGCGGCCGUAACUAUAACGGUCCUAAGGUAGCGAAAUUCCUUGUCGGGUAAGUUCCGACCUGCACGAAUGGCGUAAUGAUGGCCAGGCUGUCUCCACCCGAGACUCAGUGAAAUUGAACUCGCUGUGAAGAUGCAGUGUACCCGCGGCAAGACGGAAAGACCCCGUGAACCUUUACUAUAGCUUGACACUGAACAUUGAGCCUUGAUGUGUAGGAUAGGUGGGAGGCUUUGAAGUGUGGACGCCAGUCUGCAUGGAGCCGGCCUUGAAAUACCACCCUUUAAUGUUUGAUGUUCUAACGUUGGCCCCUAAUCGGGGUUGCGGACAGUGUCUGGUGGGUAGUUUGACUGGGGCGGUCUCCUCCUAAAGAGUAACGGAGGAGCACGAAGGUUGGCUAAUCCUGGUCGGACAUCAGGAGGUUAGUGCAAUGGCAUAAGCCAGCUUGACUGCGAGCGUGACGGCGCGAGCAGGUGCGAAAGCAGGUCAUAGUGAUCCGGUGGUUCUGAAUGGAAGGGCCAUCGCUCAACGGAUAAAAGGUACUCCGGGGAUAACAGGCUGAUACCGCCCAAGAGUUCAUAUCGACGGCGGUGUUUGGCACCUCGAUGUCGGCUCAUCACAUCCUGGGGCUGAAGUAGGUCCCAAGGGUAUGGCUGUUCGCCAUUUAAAGUGGUACGCGAGCUGGGUUUAGAACGUCGUGAGACAGUUCGGUCCCUAUCUGCCGUGGGCGCUGGAGAACUGAGGGGGGCUGCUCCUAGUACGAGAGGACCGGAGUGGACGCAUCACUGGUGUUCGGGUUGUCAUGCCAAUGGCACUGCCCGGUAGCUAAAUGCGGAAGAGAUAAGUGCUGAAAGCAUCUAAGCACGAAACUUGCCCCGAGAUGAGUUCUCCCUGACUCCCUGAGAGUCCUGAAGGAACGUUGAAGACGACGACGUUGAUAGGCCGGGUGUGUAAGCGCAGCGAUGCGUUGAGCUAACCGGUACUAAUGAACCGUGAGGCUUAACCUU